UGCUGGUCUCACCUUGUGCUUUUUAUUCAAGCUUAUUGCAAUGACAGCAUCUUUGCUUACGAAGAACUACGGCUGGACUCUUUUAAGGACUGGCCCCGGGAAUCAGCUGUGGGAGUUGCAGCACUGGCCAAAGCAGGUCUUUUCUACACAGGUGAGUCAGUAGGUUGUGCCCACUUGCUUGCUUGACCUUUAAUUCCCACAUAGACUUUAUGCUCCUGGGCUUACGUUUAGCUACACUCAGCAAUGUCCACUAGCUUCAGCGUUUCUUUUUCUUUUCUUUUUUUUUCCCCCUUGGAGACAGAGUUGCCCAGGCUGGAAUGCAGAUCUUGGCUCACUGCAACCUCCACCUCCCGGGUUCAAGAGAUUCUCCUUCCUCAGCCUCUGGAGUAGCUGGAACCACAGGCGCCUGCCACCACGCCCAGCUACUUUUUUGUAUUUUUAGUAGAGACAGGGUUUCACCAUGCUAGUCAGAAUGCUCUUGAUCUCCUGAUCUCGUGAUCUGCCCGCCUUGGCCUCCCAAAUGCUGGGAUUACAGGUGUGAGCCAUCGCGCCAGGCCUCUCUUCAGCAUUUCUUAUAGAUUCGUUUUCUUUUCUUUCUAUUUUUUUUGAGACAUGGUCAUCCAGGCUGGAGGGCAGUGGCGAGAUCAUGGCUCACUGCAGCCUCAACCUCCUGGGCUCAAGUAAUCCUCCUGCCUUGGCCUCCCAAAAUGCUGGGAUUACAGGUGAGGAUUACUUGAGCCCAGGAGGCAGAGGCUGCA
rnacentral:lncRNA from 1 species